GACUUCCUAAAGAAAGCUAGUGUUCUCAUUGCUCCUGCAAUGGCUGUUGGCACUGGAGGGGUACGAUAUUUGCUAUAUUCAGAGUGCUAUGUUUUGCUCAUAUUAUUAUAGAUUCUAGAUUGGCAUGUUGACAUGUUGAUAACCUUUCUCCUUGCUUACAAGUUACAAGUUGUGGUUAGAGAGCUUGAACUGAAUCAUGAAUGCAAUUUGAUGCACUGAUCGCUAGAGGAUUUCAAAUCUAAAUUAUGAAAUUUUGACAAAUAGCUGACGUCGAAAUUGUGAACUAGUUUUACUUUUUAUUUCACACUUUGCUGCUUUGGUUUUACCCGCUAUAUGUGUUUAGCAUGGUUCUAAGCACCAUCUGGGGGAUCACUUUUUCUCUUUAACAAAAGAGUCCUGUGCUUCUUUCGUAGAGAUGGCCAUAAUUGGAGCAAGAAGAAAGACGGAAGGACUGUUUGGAGAGGCACACGAACGCCUUAAGGUUGGAACUGUCAAAACCUUAAAUUGUUACUCUGCACAUGGAGAGGAGAACCCUACUUUCCAGAGGACAUAUGAGCAUAUUGUUCUUGUGCAUUAUAGAGAAACAAGUGAGGUGACUCUUCAUAACUUGAUUCUGGAUAAACAUGAUAAUAGUACUUUGUCCUAUUGAUAUUUACCUUUAUUUAAAGGUGAAAACUCAGGUGAAGCGACUUUACAUGAAAUUAAUAUCUGAGAGCUGUUGGAUAAAAAUUUAGUCAAAUCAAUUAAAUUAUCUAACGACUCUUAGAUAUCAACUUUAUGUAAAGUUAACUUCACCUGAUUUUCCACCUUAUUUAAAUGGCUCA